GAGGGGAAAAACUUUCCAUUUUGGGCAGCUGAGAUUGCAGGUCCACUUGCCACUUUGGGAAACUUUCUAUCUGAGCUCAAUUCCUUCAACCUUGGUCUUUGAAAUGCCGAAUGAAGUUUAUAUGGACAUGAAUGAGGUCUUUCUAACCAAUUCCAAUCAUCAAAUCACUGAUUAAAUGCACAGUUGACCACAGUUGACUUUUGUUGACU
rnacentral:lncRNA from 1 species